GUUCCUGUAGUUAAAGUUUAACGAUAGUUUUUCAGGCUAUAGAUCUCAGAGAAGAGCUGAGUAGGAACU
rnacentral:tRNA from 1 species